GAUGAACGCUGGCGGCGUGCCCAACACAUGCAAGUCGAGCGAUUUACUUCGGUAAAGAGCGGCGGACGGGUGAGUAACGCGUGGGUAACCUGCCCUGUACACACGGAUAACAUACCGAAAGGUAUGCUAAUACGAGAUAAUAUGCUUUUAUCGCAUGAUAGAAGUAUCAAAGCUUUUGCGGUACAGGAUGGACCCGCGUCUGAUUAGCUAGUUGGUAAGGUAACGGCUUACCAAGGCGACGAUCAGUAGCCGACCUGAGAGGGUGAUCGGCCACAUUGGAACUGAGACACGUUCCAAACUCCUACGGGAGGCAGCAGUGGGGAAUAUUGCACAAUGGGCGAAAGCCUGAUGCAGCAACGCCGCGUGAGCGAUGAAGGCCUUCGGGUCGUAAAGCUCUGUCCUCAAGGAAGAUAAUGACGGUACUUGAGGAGGAAGCCCCGGCUAACUACGUGCCAGCCGCCGCAGUAA
rnacentral:rRNA from 1 species